GGAACCAACACACUCAAGGACCCAGGGCCUCAGGGCAGUCCUCAAACACGGCUAAAACAAAGGCAUCCUUGUCCCCUGGUUUACUGUCACCCCCAGGGGUGCUGGAGCCCAGCAGUUCACUGCCUCCCUGCCCGAGGGAUUCGGACUCUGGGUGGCUUGCAGGUGUCCGGGCGACCUGCACAGGGAGACAACAGCCACAGAAAUGAAAACUGCACAAUCCCUUCCAUGGGAGGCCUGGAGGCGUUCCCCGCACAGCCUCAAUCCCCUCCCCACAUGCCUCAAGGUAGGAGGAUACAUAUGUUUGUCAUCCUUUACAGCUGAGAAAAACCAAAACCACAAGGCCACAAGUCACAGGCUGUCUCGGGGAUGGCCGGGGGAGGGGGGCAGCCCUGUGUCUUCCAUACAGGCCACAGAGUGAGCCAAGAAGCCUUCUGGGCUCCUCUUUUGUCUCUUGCACCUUGUCAAUAUCUCGUGGUACACAGUGUGCAAUGAACGCCACCAGACAUCUGCGAGAGGAAAACAGCGACAUUCCGAAUCACUGAAACAUGCCAACCUUGGAAGGGCGGGAGGCCCGGGACGCGGCAAGGCCUCCCAAGAACGCGGGCGAAAGGUGAAGCACAGGCCAUCUGAGAGUACAGACGGACUCAACGCAGCAGAGGAGCUGCAGCAAACCACCGUCAGAGCCGCGGAGCGCGGAGGGUGGAUGAGUAAAGUAGGACCUUGCUAUCAAGCUUGAAAGCACCUGCCCCGCCUGCCUGUGCCUGAAUUCCGCGCUCACAGUUUUCAGGGAGAAGUCUGACCCAUGUUUAUCAGACCAGAGUUCAGGGCCCACCGGCUCAGAGACGGCUCCCUGGGAGUCUGGGCUCUCAGAGACGUCACAGAGAGCAUCUGUUCCGCGGGGCAAGAGCCCUGUUAGAAGAAAGCAUCAGUUAUGUGAGCAGUGGCGCCAGUGCUGAGCCCUGGGGAGCCAAUGCAACCUUCUACCCACCUCAGGGAUGCCAGGCCCCGCUGACGCCACAUACCCAAGACCACGCGAGAGGACCCAAGUCCCCAGCGAGCUGGAUGAAAGAACUAAGAAAAUGGUGUUUCUUCUAACGGCCUCAGGUCUUGAUUUCAGUCACUCCUCAAACCUCUCGCUUCUUCGCCCAGGUCUAUGGAAAGGCAAAUGACCGAACACUUGCUCAGGAUCCAGGGACCCCCCAACACUGCUCCAGGUCAGCGUUUCCGCAAACAAGCAGAGGGACACAGGCCCCUCCUCUUCCAGCCCCCUCCUAGGGCGCAGCAAGGGGCUGAGCUCUGGGCAAUUCUACAGCUGUUCAGUGAGCACAAGUCAGACACUGCAGGGAUGGUGCAGACGAUACCACGCCGUCCUCCACUGGACAAGAUGACCCCAAAGCGCAAAGCUAGAGAGCCUCACAGGACACAGUGGAAGGGUGCGGGGAAAGCCAGGCAAUGUCGGACCCAGGCGGCACUGGGUCUGGGAGGUGGGCAGGCAGGAGUGGUCACCGCUCCAGGGUCACCCAGGAAAUACAGAACAUUUUCCAG
rnacentral:antisense_RNA from 1 species